UAAGGAAUAUUGGUCAAUGGAGGCAACUCUGAACCAGCCAUGCCGCGUGCAGGAAGAAGGCCCUAUGGGUCGUAAACUGCUUUUGAACAAGAGAAAACCCCGGUACGUGUACUGGGUUGAUAGUAUUGUUAGAAUAAGCAUCGGCUAACUUCGUGCCAGCAGCCGCGGUAAGACGAAGGAUGCAAGCGUUAUCCGGAUUCAUUGGGUUUAAAGGGUACGUAGGCGGACUGAUAAGUCAGUGGUGAAAUCUCUCGGCUUAACCGAGAAACUGCCAUUGAUACUGUUAGUCUAGAGUACAGAUGAUGUGGGCGGAAUAUGACAUGUAGUGGUGAAAUACUUAGAUAUGUCAUAGAACACCGAUUGCGAAGGCAGCUCACAAAACUGUAACUGACGCUGAGGCACGAAAGUGCGGGGAUCAAACAGGAUUAGAUACCCACGUAGUCCCUGAGCGGGCUGGCAAGGCGCAU
rnacentral:rRNA from 1 species